CGGUAAUUCCAGCUCCAAUAGCGUAUAUUAAUGCUGCAGCUGUUAAAAAGCUCGUAGUUGGAUCAAGAGUCGGAGAGUGCACGGUGGCCCUUCUAGUUCACGAGGCUCCGGUUUCGGGGACUGGUUGGGAUCAACCCCGUGCGCCAAACUCUCCGCUCUAACAGGCCGAAGCGGUUCCCUGUGAGUAGGCCCCUUUAUUGGGGUUGAAAGCGACUUCGCAUCUACCAUAUGCAUACGGGACGUCGACCAAAGUUACUGUGAACAAACCAGCGUGUCCAAAACAGGCUUUCGCCUGAAUGUUCGAGCAUGGAAUAACAAGGGAUCGAUUCUCUCGGUUCUUUUUGUUGGUUUUUAACCCGAGAAGGAGUAAUUCAGGCCACGGUGUCUGAGCUGGGUUCCCCUGCACUUCGGUGUAGGCCCCAGUUAGGCCGUGUCCUUACGGGAUAAAUAGGGACUGACGGGGUCGUACGUACUUCCACGUCAGAGGUGAAAUUCUUAGAUCGUGGGAAGACGAACUUCUGCGAAAGCAUUCGACAAGAAUGUCUUCAUUAAUCAAGAACGAGAGUGUGGGGAUCGAAGAUGAUCAGAUACCGUCGUAGUCCACUACUGUAAACAAUGCCGUCUCAGGAUUGAGAAGUAACAUUUUGACCUUCACAGCACUAACCCCUGAAACGAGAAAUCAAAGAUUAUGGGUUCAGGGGGGAGUACAUUCGCAAGGCUGAAACUUAAAGGAAUUGACGGAAUGACACCACAAGGCGUGGAGUAUGCGGCUUAAUUUGACUCAACACGGGGAAUUUUACUAGGUCAGGACAAUGUAAGGAUUGACAGAUUGAGAGCUCUUUCUCGAACCAUUGUGUGGUGGUGCAUGGCCGCUCCUGGUUGGUGGAGUGAUUUGUCUGGUUGAUUCCGUUAACGAACGAGAUCUCGACCCUUAAAUAGGUGCCCGUGUCGAUUGUAGUUUCAUCUCCGCUCGCUUGCGAGAUUGGAGUGGGACGAGACUGCGGGAAUACUUCUUAAGGGGACUGUGUGCGUCUAUAGCACGCGGAAGAGCGAGCCAAUAGCAGGUCUGUGAUGCUCCUAAAUGUCCUAGGCUGCACGCGCACUACACUGAUGCAAUAAACGAGUCUGAGUGCCUUCUGGCAACCUACCUGGAAGCGGGUGGGAAAUCUUUUGAACUUGCAUCGUGAUGAGGAUCGACGAUUGCAAUUAUUCUCCUUGAAUGAGGAAUGCCUAGUAGGCACAAGUCAUCAGCUUGUACUGAUUACGUCCCUGCCAUUUGUACACACCGCCCGUCGUUGCUACUGAUUGGCUGUAGGGUAGAGAUCGGCGGAAUUCGGCCAGUUGGGGUGACUCUUCUGGCUGGGCAAAACCUAUCAAUAUUCCGCAGCUAGAAGAAGCAAAAGUCGUAACAAGGUAACC
rnacentral:rRNA from 1 species